rnacentral:tRNA from 1 species
GGCCGAGCAGGUGAUGAGCUGUAGACUCGUAGACGGGGCACGGAGCCCCCCCAACAAG